rnacentral:rRNA from 1 species
CGCUUCUUUUUCCACCGGAGCUUGCUCCACCGGAAAAAGAGGAGUGGCGAACGGGUGAGUAACACGUGGGUAACCUGCCCAUCAGAAGGGGAUAACACUUGGAAACAGGUGCUAAUACCGUAUAACAAUCGAAACCGCAUGGUUUUGAUUUGAAAGGCGCUUUCGGGUGUCGCUGAUGGAUGGACCCGCGGUGCAUUAGCUAGUUGGUGAGGUAACGGCUCACCAAGGCGACGAUGCAUAGCCGACCUGAGAGGGUGAUCGGCCACAUUGGGACUGAGACACGGCCCAAACUCCUACGGGAGGCAGCAGUAGGGAAUCUUCGGCAAUGGACGAAAGUCUGACCGAGCAACGCCGCGUGAGUGAAGAAGGUUUUCGGAUCGUAAAACUCUGUUGUUAGAGAAGAACAAGGAUGAGAGUAACUGUUCAUCCCUUGACGGUAUCUAACCAGAAAGCCACGGCUAACUACGUGCCAGCAGCCGCGGUAAUACGUAGGUGGCAAGCGUUGUCCGGAUUUAUUGGGCGUAAAGCGAGCGCAGGCGGUUUCUUAAGUCUGAUGUGAAAGCCCCCGGCUCAACCGGGGAGGGUCAUUGGAAACUGGGAGACUUGAGUGCAGAAGAGGAGAGUGGAAUUCCAUGUGUAGCGGUGAAAUGCGUAGAUAUAUGGAGGAACACCAGUGGCGAAGGCGGCUCUCUGGUCUGUAACUGACGCUGAGGCUCGAAAGCGUGGGGAGCAAACAGGAUUAGAUACCCUGGUAGUCCACGCCGUAAACGAUGAGUGCUAAGUGUUGGAGGGUUUCCGCCCUUCAGUGCUGCAGCUAACGCAUUAAGCACUCCGCCUGGGGAGUACGACCGCAAGGUUGAAACUCAAAGGAAUUGACGGGGGCCCGCACAAGCGGUGGAGCAUGUGGUUUAAUUCGAAGCAACGCGAAGAACCUUACCAGGUCUUGACAUCCUUUGACCACUCUAGAGAUAGAGCUUCCCCUUUCGGGGGCAAAGUGACAGGUGGUGCAUGGUUGUCGUCAGCUCGUGUCGUGAGAUGUUGGGUUAAGUCCCGCAACGAGCGCAACCCUUAUUGUUAGUUGCCAUCAUUUAGUUGGGCACUCUAGCAAGACUGCCGGUGACAAACCGGAGGAAGGUGGGGAUGACGUCAAAUCAUCAUGCCCCUUAUGACCUGGGCUACACACGUGCUACAAUGGGAAGUACAACGAGUCGCAAAGUCGCGAGGCUAAGCUAAUCUCUUAAAGCUUCUCUCAGUUCGGAUUGUAGGCUGCAACUCGCCUACAUGAAGCCGGAAUCGCUAGUAAUCGCGGAUCAGCACGCCGCGGUGAAUACGUUCCCGGGCCUUGUACACACCGCCCGUCACACCAC